GGGUAGCCUUCUCUAUUUAAUCAUGCAUCUACAAUGAAAUUUCCCAAGACGAACAGCUCAGUAACUCUUAUUUGAUUUGAUGUAUUAGGAUUCUAACUAUGUUAAAUUAUAGGUAACAAUAAUACAAUAAGAAUAAGAUCUAUCAGUUAGUUGUUAAGGUAAUGGCUUAACAAGACUAUGACGGAUAACGGUAUUACUUUGUAAUAUUCCGGAGAAGGAGCCUGAGAGAUUGCUACUAAGUCUAAGGAUUGCAGCAGGGGCGAACUUGACCUAUGAUAUUUUAUUGAGGCAGUUAUGAAGUAGUAUUUUAUAAUUAUUGUAGUAUUGUAAGUACAUAUUACAAGAUAACUCGCACGGCAAAUCGAGGGGCCAGCAGCCGCGGUAAUACUUGUUCCGAUAGUGUGUAUGAUGAUUGAUGCAGUUAAAAAGUCUGUAGUUUAUUUAUAAAAAGCAGUGGAACGGAACUGGAAACUUGAAAAAUGUAUUUAGUUGAGGAACCAAAGGACCGUAAAGUUAGGAGGGAUUCGAAAGAUGGAUUUAGAUACCCAUUGGUAAGUUCUAAGCAGUAAAACUAUGUUGAAUUCCAUAGAUAUAUUUUGAUAUAUAUUUAUGUAGAGAAAUUAAGAUUAUAUUGACUCUGGGGGAUAGUAUGAUCCGCAAGAUUGAAAAUUAAAGAAAUUGACGGAAGAAUACCACAAGGAGUGGAUUGUGCGGCUUAAUUUGACUCAACGCGGGGUAAUUUACCCAGGUAUAACAUGAUAUAAUAUUUUAUCAUGAUAGUGGUGCAUGGCCGUUUCCAAUGGAUGCUGUGAAGUAAUGAUUAAUUUCAACAAGAAGUGAGACCCUCAUUUAGACAGAUGUAGUGAUACAUAUGAAGGAGAGGAUUAAAACAGGUCCGUUAUGCCCUAAGAUAAUCUGGGUUGCACGCGCAAUACAAUAAUAUUUGAUAUUAUAAGGGAUAAUAUAAUGUAAGAUAUAUUUGAACAUGGAAUUGCUAGUAAAUUUUAUUUAAUAAGUAGAAGUGAAUGAGUCCCUGUUCUUUGUACACACCGCCCGUCGCUAUCUAAGAUGGUGGAACUAUGAACUUAUCUUAAAGGCAGAAAGUCUAGUCUGUUUC
rnacentral:rRNA from 1 species